rnacentral:ncRNA from 1 species
UUUUAAUACCGGAGGUACUUACCCCUCGACAGGUCAAUAGUCGGUGGAUGGUUAAAAAUACUAAGCGUAUGUUAAGUACGUCGCCCCGAUUAGGUCCCACUCAUUUCUGAGUGGGAUUUUUUUAUGGA